UAUAGGGUCUGGUGUGGAGGUGGUGUGUUUAGUGCCUAAAUUGUUCAUUUCCUGGUCAUUUGAAUGGUCAGUCUCCGGCCAAACAGUACUAUUCAUCACACAGGUGUAAUGAAGGACUGUUGGAGUAACGUUUGGAGAUAUAUUUACCUGUGCGUUGAUCAGUGAGCUGGAACAGACGUAAUAUAUUUAUAUAUACUGGAGGCUCGGCAUGUGUAUGUGCAUUACAAGUUAUGCGUAUCACAGAAUGUGUAUGUUGGUAUUCUAAGGACCGUGUUGGAUAUUUUGUCGGGAGGAUAGCUUAUUAGGACCCCAAUACAGGACGUAUGUAUAAUAGGAGGGACCACUCCACAAACUGGCUAGUUUAGUGACAGGAGCUGUACUGUGGUCCUGUGCUGUUUUCUUCCUCAAGGGGAUUUACCCAAUCUUUGACUCCACGAUGAAGCCGUCAUAGCAGCCCUUCGCCAACAACACUACCAUGACAACCAUGGAACGGUCAGACAGAAUGCUCUUCAUAUCGGAAUCUCCAGUGGAUAGGAGUUUUGACAGUAAAAUGACCAGUUAUAACCAACAGUCCACGGUGACAGAGGUCCAUGUUGUAGGAUCGGAGACAAACAAUGUUGCCCUAAAUCGUGUAUGGGGACCCCCAACGGGGACGGCAACAGCAGAGAUACGCCAUGUGAAUGUAAACAUGGAUGCCAACCACAAUGUGAAACCUUCCGAGUUCCUACAGAGGACUGGUCAUUCCUCUAUGUCUUCGUCUUCAAGUUCAUCCCUGCCGCCACAAACCUCAAUGAAAUCGUACUCCACUGUAUCGUCUUCAGCCUCACUUCCACAUACUACCACGCAGGUCCGGCGGAACCAGUCUGAAAGUGCUGCAGCAGAAAUGCGGCCAGAGGUGGGGAGGGAGCGUGCCACUGCGCAAAUGCGAGGGGUUGGGACAGAAAAUGUAACAGCCCAGGUGUGGGGGACGGAGAGCAUGCAUGCUGAGUACCGAGAUACAGGCCACGCCACAGUCAGCACAGAAGUGAAACACAAAGAAAAUGGAGAGAAGAAAGUGACUAUCUUGGAGAAUGGACAGUGUACCUGUUGUCCCUAUGGUUACCAUAUAGACUUGGACUUCGUCAACUACUGUGACAGUUUGAAUGAUCCUGCCUAUUUGAAAAAGUUGAAAAGGUUACAACGAGAAAAGCGUAAACUUCGUAAAUCUAUGGAAGUCUAUCUUCAACAACAGGAGAAUUCUGAUGUCCAGCAAACAGAGACCGUGGAGCGGAUUAGCCUCGUGCCACUCAACAAACAAAGUGCACCGGCCAAUCAGGUUCUGGAUGAGAUAGACUCAUCAGUGGAUGCCACACUGGCUUCCAUCAACACUAUGAUGUAUACUUCUGCUCAUGGCCGACUCAUGAGCUCCGAAAGUGAAGGCACAUCUAGCUCUACAAGUCCCCAAAACACAGAAAAGUUCAACACAUUUCCACGCAAUCGAGGCAAAAACAUGCAGGAUGAAAUAAAUCAAUUUAAUACAUCUUUUGAAAUGCAAAGAGGACUAACAGAUUCCCAGAGUUCCUUGUCUUCUAUUUCGACAAUUGCCAGUGAACGAAAUUUUCCGACACAAAGUGUAUCAACCUAUAACCACAUGGUUGGCAACAACAACUAUGGCCAGAGUACUGUCACUACGGAAACAAGUAUCUCACGCUUCACACACAUCACAUCUGAACAGUUGGCGGCUACCAUGGCAACACAUUUACCAACACCUGAAGAUGGCGCUGCUUCCUCCCAGUCGACAACAACAAGCAUCAGUAAGUCCUCUCUACACGAGGUGCGCGAGGUGAUGGCAGUGAGCUUACAGAGGAUGAGAGAGCUUGAGGAACAGCUGAAGGCUAUCCCGGUCCUGCAGGUGCGUAUCUCUGUCCUCAAGGAGGAGAAGCGCCUUCUCAUGUUGCAACAGAAAGCUCGCGAGGCUAGGAUGAACAUGCGGUCAAUUGGUGUUGGAGAUUCUCCUGUAGAGGAGGUUGUCAAACCAGUUGUAUCCCCUACGGUUAAGGUUCCACCACCAGUAAUGCCAAAGCCUAGACUGAAGUCCAAGGCUGUAGGGGACAACAACGUGAUGGUGCCUUACCUAGUGCAGCCUGAGUUACCACCCAGCUACACUGUCAGGGACAAUGAAACCAUCAUACGGGAGACGUAUGUGUUGGAGAGAGAACGUGGUAACACUGCAAUCUACUCACCCUUUUCCAGGACACCCAAACCUCUCACUCGAACAAUAGGCAUUGGUGACGCAAAUGUGCUUGAUGAUGGUUUAAAGAUUCACGAAAAAGAACUAAGAACUGUGAUUAUAGGCGAAGCAAAGUCUGUUGGAAAGCGCCAUGUUGGUGUGGAUUGUCGUGUGUCAACAAGGGAUGUUGGUGUGUCUAUUGCGAUUGAUGAGGAGAAGCCUUCGACACGUACGGUUGGUGUUAAUGUUGACACAGGUUCCUUACUAACCUCGCUAAGCUUCAAGGCUGAUGAGAUGAGGAGUGCAUUGAGGGAAGUACUACACAAAAAUGUGCGGAGUAUCGGUGUCAAUUGUGACUAUAGGGCUCAAACCAUGGAGAGAGGGGUACAAUUUUCUGAAUAUUCACUGCGUACCAUAGGUGUAGGGGACUAUGAUGUGGAUAUAGAAUUACGUGCUCCUGUUCCGACGAGAACUGUUGGAAUUGAAGCCCAGCCUCAUGUCAUAAAUAAGGCUUGUAACACAGACUAUGGCUGGAAGCUUGAUGCUAGCACCAACACCGCAAAGCAAUACCAGGAAAACAGGUCAACCAUGACGGACCGGGCGAGACUCGGCAGUGCAGGGACCAUGACUGAGGCUGACAAAAUGUUCUCUGGUGGCACACAGACUGAUGUGAUGAUGUUCAUGAGGAUGGAUCAACUAAAAAAUGCUGGGUGUAAUACAAAACGGAAAAACACUUACAGCAAUGGUGUCCAAACAGACCUGUGUGAAGUUGUGUCGGAGGAUUAUGAACUUGAGGUAAUUUCGAAAAGCAGACGGCCAAUUAAAACUAAUUCCUACACAAAUACGGAUGCAGAGCCUCGAAAAUACAGCACAUCGAUGAAUACAGAGGAACCUAGAAAAUAUAGUAAAUCUGUGAACACUGACUCGGUGAGAACCAGAGACAUUGGAAGUAGUGAUGAUAAAUUAGAUUCAUUUGUAUGUUCCUUUAAUGAUGAAGAACGAAUGGAGGAGACAACGGAAGAGAUCGUCACCUGGACAACAGAGCAGGAGGUCCAGAGUGACUGGUCAGGCCAAAGCAGGGGUCAAGUCAUUGAACGUCAUACGACUGCAUCUCUGGACAAUAACCAGAUAAAAACCUCUAAAGAGAUCAAAGAGGUACCAGAAUCUUCACUGGUGGUUGUGUCUCAGAGGGCGAACAACUUGAUGUCAGCAUCCCCUAAAUAUAAGGAUGAGGCAACCUCCGAGACAUGGGAGGAUAAGCAAGUUACUCAAGUGAGCUCAGACCAACACAGCUGGAAGGAAGGUGACCGCAGUCAGGAGGUAGUGGAGAAAAAGAUCACCAGCCAGGGUGGCGACACUUACACUGUCACCACCAUCACACGCAAGACUCUUGGUGAACCAGAUGGGCAAAUGACCUUGCCAGGUCAGAGUGGUAAAGCCAAUGUAAGGAGUAUCAAAACAGGAGGCAACAUUGAGGUUACUAAGAUCUCUUCUUCUGGUGGUGGCAGUACUGGGGAUGUAUUAUCUGGUAUAAGCGGAAGUCAGCGAACAGUUACCACAGUCACGCAAAGUAUGAGUGGUUCAGGAGGUGGCAGACAAGCGCUGGAAGAAAACAGGGAACAGUCAAUGUCACAAUCUUCAUCUACCUCCAAACUGAAGGCUGAGCUUGAUCUGUUAGGGGGAUCUGGAGGGUCAUCGUCAUUGAUGAUGCAAAAGGGAUCAGGGGGAUCAAUGGAAUCAACAGGUUCAUCAUCGAUAAUGAUAUCCUCGUCCAGUAGUGGUGUGUCAGGAAUGACCUCAAGCAGUGGUCAGUCUGGCUCUGAUCUCAGUCUGAGUGGUCAGUCUUCGACCAGCACCAGCAGCGACACCAAUAAUGAAGAGGAGGAGGAGGUAACUGAGUCACUGGAGAUCAGGACAUAUAGGACUUCUGACUUUACACCAGUUGGCAGGAGCUAUUUUGAGCAGUAUGUCAGUUCUGGAGACAGUGGAAACCUCACUGGAGGUGUAACCAUUAUGAACACACAUUCUGUUGAUUCCACUGAUGGCAGUCGCAGGUCUCUCAAGUCAUGCAUGAAGAAGAGCAAGUCGGACACUCAGAUCAAGAAGGGCAUCACCUUUGCCGAAAAUGUGGUUGGAGGUUAUACAUCUAGCAGUGCAGGUGACGAAAGUUCGGAGGAGGGAGAAUCUGACAGUGAGUCAACAACUAGUUACGAGGAGGGAUCGUACGAUGGGCGAGAGGGCAGCAUUGUCUACCAGUGUAAGGACGAUGAGGCCAUUGCACAGGGAAUGCCUGGGGCCAAGAUGUUUGACCAGAACAUCAGGGAAACAUUCGAGUUGAGUAAAGAAAUGCAAACAUCAUCUUCUGUGCUGGCCAAGUAUUUGGAGGACUCAACAGAGGUACAGACCAAGGAACUGAAUGCCAGCCUUAAUGUGAUCCAGAAGGAAUGGUUUGGCAUUUCUAGCCAGAAGCUGUCAGAGCCCCACCAGGUAGAGGACUACCUGUCAAGCUUAAACGAGAUUUCUCGACGUCUGCUCGAGUAUAUAGUCAACAUGCAGGAUUCCAAUGGAAACACAGCCAUACACUAUGCAGUGUCCCACUGUAAUUUCGAGAUAGUGAACCUGCUGUUGGACACAGGCAAGGUGGACCUGGACAAGCAGAACAAAGCCGGCUACACACCCACCAUGCUGGCCACACUGGCCUACACCCAGACUGAGCGUCAACAGGAGGUUGUCCACAGACUUUUUACAAUGGGCGACAUUAACGCCCGUGCCUCGAAGGAUGGACAGACGGCCCUUAUGUUAGCAGUCAGUCAAGGUCGCACAGAAAUGGUCAAGCUGCUCCUUGAAAACGGAGCGAAUGUAAAUGCCCAGGACAACGAGGGGUCGACCUCCAUGAUGGUUGGAUGUGAACAUGGCUACACAGAAAUUGUCAAGUUACUGAUGUCACAGCCUGAUUAUGACCCCGCCCUGGCAGACAAUGAUGGGAGUACCCCUCUGUCGAUAGCCAUGGAGGCAGGCCACAAGGACAUAGGAGUCCUAUUAUAUGCACAACUUAACUUUAAACGACAGGCACAAGCUUCUCCAUAUUUAGACCUAUCAAUAUAGGCGGGGUCUGAUCUGGCCCCGCCCAGAAGUGUGCUGAUUGACAGGGUCUAACCAGGAGUAGGAAAACUUCUCAUAACACAUCUCCACUAGCCAGUCCAUCCUCUGUUCGGUAGCACUCAAGUGUGUAUAUAUA
rnacentral:misc_RNA from 1 species